AUUGAACGCUGGCGGCAUGCCUUACACAUGCAAGUCGAACGGCAGCACGGGAGCAAUCCUGGUGGCGAGUGGCGAACGGGUGAGUAAUAUAUCGGAACGUGCCCGGUCGUGGGGGAUAACGUAGCGAAAGCUACGCUAAUACCGCAUACGAUCUACGGAUGAAAGCGGGGGAUCGCAAGACCUCGCGCGAUUGGAGCGGCCGAUAUCAGAUUAGGUAGUUAGUGAGGUAAAGGCUCACCAAGCCGACGAUCUGUAGCUGGUCUGAGAGGACGACCAGCCACACUGGGACUGAGACACGGCCCAGACUCCUACGGGAGGCAGCAGUGGGGAAUUUUGGACAAUGGGCGCAAGCCUGAUCCAGCAAUGCCGCGUGCAGGAUGAAGGCCUUCGGGUUGUAAACUGCUUUGUACGGAACGAAACGGUGAGCUCUAAUACAGUUUGCUAAUGACGGUACCGUAAGAAUAAGCACCGGCUAACUACGUG
rnacentral:rRNA from 1 species